GCAGUCGUGGCCGAGUGGCUAAGGCGAUGGACUAGGUUUCCAUUGGGGUCUCCCCGUACAGGUUCGAAUCCUGUCGACUGCG
rnacentral:tRNA from 1 species